UUUAUUUAGAUUAUAUUUUAUUUAUCUUAUUUUUUACUUUUUGAUGUUGUUGAUUCAGAGUUGGAAAUUUGAAUGACACCGCCUUCUGAGGCUCGCCUUUAUAUAGACAGUAUCAGCCAAUCAGGUUGCACAUAACAAAAUCUGGACCAAUGAAAACAAUUGUUACAAAGUAACAUUGGCGUUCUAAAAUAAACAUUUCAGAGAAAAUUUAGCUUUUGAUGGGAAACUAUAAUUAAUUACAAUUUAUAAUGUUGCGUUUACUUGAUAUUUAGAAAGAACAAUAUUUAAGGAAUAAAAUGGCACCACAUAUGGUUUAAAUAGACCAAAAUAUGAUAUCAAACGCCGGUUUACAAAAUGGACAGUGACAGCUUCCAAACAAGAUGGCGGAUGCGAAUUACACUUGACAAGCAUACCAACCCUUGCAGUGCUGACUAUCCUGGCGCCCUGGUGAGGACCGUUACCCAGUGUCCCACAACCACGGGUGGCAAACCACACUGCACAGCCGAUGCUGUCGUCUAGUACCGUCACGAGCGGGUACACCAGCUCCUUUAUGUGGGCCUCUCUGGAAGGCAUUUAUAGAUUGGAAUCAUUCUUCUCCUGUCACAUUCACCUCUAUGAAGUUCCAAGGUCGGUCUGGAUUGAGUUCUGAGAGUGCAGUGUAGCCUGUCAGUCUGUCUGGCACGCUCCAGCGAUUAGACUCAGAUGCAUGUUCACAUCUAUAUAAAAUGUCUUGAUGAA